rnacentral:rRNA from 1 species
GACGAACGCUGGCGGCGUGCCUAACACAUGCCAGUCGAACGGAAAGGCCCUGAUUUCGUGCGGUGCCCGAGUGCCGAACGGGUGCGUAACACGUGAGUAUCCUGCCCUAGAUUUUGGGAUAACUUCAGGAAACUGGGGCUACUCUAGGAUCGGAGCCCACCUACCAUGGUGGGGGGUGGAACGUCUCGGCGGUCGGGGAUGGACUCGCGGCUUUCCAGCUUGUUGGUGGGGUAGUGGCAUGCCAAGGCUUUGACCGAUAACCGACAUGUGAGGGUGACCGGCCACAUGGGGACUGAGAGACGGCCCAGUCUGCUACGUGAGACAACAGUGGGGAAUAUUACACAGUGAGCGGAAGCCUGAUGCAGCAGCGCCGCGUGCGGAAUGACGGCCUUCGGGGUAUGAACCGCUUUCGCCUGAUACGAAGCGUGAGUGACGGUAAUGGGUAAAGAAGCACCGGCUAACUACGUG